AACGCGCCGCCAGCGACAGGUUCCCCGAAAGGGGAUUGAAAGGGAACGGGGACAAAACCCCGGCUGCCCCUGCAACUGUGAGCGGUGAGUCAUCGGGCCAUAUGCCAUUGGGAUCUUCGACGAUCCUGAGAAGGCGGUCCGAACCGGCGUCGACCCGCAAGCCAGGAGACCUGCCCGUCGCCGUCGUCUUUC
rnacentral:ncRNA from 1 species